AACGAACGCUGGCGGCAUGCCUAACACAUGCAAGUCGAACGAAGCCUUCGGGCUUAGUGGCGCACGGGUGCGUAACGCGUGGGAAUCUGCCCUUGGGUUCGGAAUAACAGUUAGAAAUGACUGCUAAUACCGAAUGAUGUCUUCGGACCAAAGAUUUAUCGCCCAAGGAUGAGCCCGCGUCGGAUUAGCUAGUUGGUGAGGUAAAGGCUCACCAAGGCGACGAUCCGUAGCUGGUCUGAGAGGAUGAUCAGCCACACUGGGACUGAGACACGGCCCAGACUCCUACGGGAGGCAGCAGUGGGGAAUAUUGGACAAUGGGCGAAAGCCUGAUCCAGCAAUGCCGCGUGAGUGAUGAAGGCCUUAGGGUUGUAAAGCUCUUUACCCGGGAUGAUAAUGACAGUACCGGGAGAAUAAGCCCCGGCUAACUCCGUGCCAGCAGCCGC
rnacentral:rRNA from 1 species